rnacentral:rRNA from 1 species
AGCGAACGCUGGCGGCAGGCCUAACACAUGCAAGUCGAACGGAUCCUUCGGGAUUAGUGGCGGACGGGUGAGUAACACGUGGGAACGUGCCCUUUGGCUCGGAACAACUCAGGGAAACUUGAGCUAAUACCGGAUGUGCCCUUCGGGGGAAAGAUUUAUCGCCAUUGGAGCGGCCCGCGUCUGAUUAGCUAGUUGGUGAGGUAACGGCCCACCAAGGCGACGAUCAGUAGCUGGUCUGAGAGGACGAUCAGCCACACUGGGACUGAGACACGGCCCAGACUCCUACGGGAGGCAGCAGUGGGGAAUCUUGCGCAAUGGGCGAAAGCCUGACGCAGCCAUGCCGCGUGAAUGAUGAAGGUCUUAGGAUUGUAAAAUUCUUUCAGCGGGGACGAUAAUGACGGUACCCGCAGAAGAAGCUCCGGCUAACUUCGUG